UACGUAGGCAGCGAGCGUUGUUCGGAGUUACUGGGCGUAAAGGGUGUGUAGGCGGUUGGUUAAGUUUGGUGUGAAAUCUCCCGGCUCAACUGGGAGGGUGCGCCGAAUACUGAAUGACUUGGAGUGCGGGAGAGGAGAGUGGAAUUCCUGGUGUAGCGGUGAAAUGCGUAGAUAUCGGGAGGAACACCUGUGGCGAAAGCGGCGCACUGGACCACAUCUGACGCUGAGGCGCGAAAGCUAGGGGAGCAAACAGG
rnacentral:rRNA from 1 species